UUCGCUGUUUGGCACACUUGAGCGAAAGCCAAGAACGCAAAGCCUCCUGUCUGACGCCUGCCACCAGCAGGGAAGAUAGCGGGGUUGUGUUC
rnacentral:ncRNA from 1 species